GUAUUUCCGCCGGCGCGAAACGAGCGUAGCUUCCUUGUCGUGUGGCCUCAGUCCUUCGCCGUCCCUCGCCGUCCUUCGCCAUCGCACGCCACCGCACCCCAUCUCUCGAAAUCUGCAGACAUCUUGAUUUUUCCCACGCUGUCUGUCAGGUCUCCGCCGCCACUCGACGCCAGGGCGCCGGGUGAGUCCACAGCAGGGCGCAUGGUCGGCUCCACUCUCACCAUCGGGGGAAACUGAGGCCCCGGGGAAGGCGGCCAGAGAGGUCAGGCCCUGUCCUUGGUGCAGUGUCUCGUCCUCUUUGCCGGAGUGAGCCCCCCAGGAUUCGCGUGUCCUCGGGAAAGACACUGGCAGGCCUUGUGGGCUGUGCUGCACCUCGGACGGCUUCGCACCAGCCAGCGCCCUCUCUCUCCUGCAGCACUCUGAUCUGCACCCCCUGAGGGGCUUCCACUGUCCGCGGGGUGAGAAUGCCCCUGGGAGUGUCACAUGACUGCCGCCCCAUGUGUGUGAGAGGCGUCCUCUGGGAGAGCAUGGAUCCUGAGGUCCCAGGAUUGUCAGCUGACCUCUGUCCUGUGUGCCCAGUGGCCCCAGGUGACGUGUCUUCAAGAAGAGGCUGAGCUGCGGUGCUUGUAAGAGUCAUGUGCUGUUCCUGGGGCUUGGAUGAUGUAGGGGAAGCAAGGUGAAAGUGGUAUCCCGUGGUUCCACGUUCUGUCCUGCUGUGGGGCUGUCCCUCACAUGCUUUCAGUGGCUGUUGCAGAGGAAGAGCCUCCGGAAAUCUGCGUGGGUAAAGUCUCAGCCUUAGAUCCAAGGACAGUCCAAGGAAGUCCUAAGACCAUGGAGUUGGUGAUCUGGGAUCUGGGUUUGCUGAUAUUUCUCACCGUGAAUCUCUUGGUGGUGUUUGUGGGCACGAGAGGGGCAGAGAAUGGAGAGUGAGGCUACCACAUGAAGCGUCACCAGAGCUGCUCCCUGCUGCCUGCUCAGAGCACCCCGGAUCCACUGUUCAAUCUGCACAAGAUUCGGGGUCCAGACAUGGGAGACUUCAGCUGCCUCAGAGGACCGUGGACAGGGAAGGCCAGCCUCGCAUCCCUCUGUCCAUGCCUGGAAUGACUUUAAUAACCAAGAGUUUUAUUUUUGAAUUUGUAGCUGUCGUUCACUUUUUACCCACCCAUUCAAUAAACCUUACAGAAUUGCUCCAAAAAAAAAAAAAAAAAA
rnacentral:sRNA from 1 species